GCUGACACAUCCCUGCCAAUCUCCAGCAGACCCUCCCUCCCAGACCCUCCUACUUCCUGGACAGCAUCCAUGUUGAAGGCAGCUUCAACAUGGAUGCUGUCCAGGAGGUGGGAGGGUCUGGGAGGGAGGGUCUGCCGGAGAUUGGCAGGGAUUGGUCAG